UACGAAGGGGGCUAGCGUUGCUCGGAAUCACUGGGCGUAAAGGGCGCGUAGGCGGCCGAUUAAGUCGGGGGUGAAAGCCUGUGGCUCAACCACAGAAUUGCCUUCGAUACUGGUUGGCUUGAGACCGGAAGAGGACAGCGGAACUGCGAGUGUAGAGGUGAAAUUCGUAGAUAUUGGGAAGAACACCAGUGGCGAAGGCGGCUCACUGGUCCGAUACUGACGCUGAGGUGCGAAAGCGUGGGGAGCAAACAGG
rnacentral:rRNA from 1 species